rnacentral:misc_RNA from 1 species
CGCACCUUGCACUCUUUGGUAUUCCGAAGAGUAUGCCUGUUUGAGUGUCAUUAAAUUCUCAACCUUGAAAUAUUUUGUAGAUAUCUUCAAAGGCUUGGAUGUGGGAGUUGCUGGUUUCUUGUUGAAUCAGCUCUUCUGAAAUGUAUUAGUGAAGGCUUGUAAGCUUUCUCUUUGGUGUGAUAAUUAUCUACGCCUUAGGGUUAGGGUUUACAUUUUAAUGGUCUUCUGCUUCUAACAGUUCAUUCACUUGAACAACUUUUUAUUGACUUGACCUCAAAUCAGGUAGGACUACCCGCUGAACUUAA